GACACUAAUGUCGACGUUCAUCGUUCGCUUGAGUCCUUCAACUCUAUCUAACAAUGCCCUCAUCGUUAAAAAAAUAAUGCCUGGAUCGUCUGGUCUACCACUGAUUGUGUGUGUCUUACCACAUCCUGUAGCACCAUAUGCAAACACAGUGGCAUUAUAUCCCUGCAAAACACUGUCCAACAACGGCUCUGUGGUACCCUUGUAAACAUCCUCCUGUGAGGCUUCUUCACCAAAAAGACGAUCAAAUGCAUAUCGAACAUCCCGAAAGCGUUUCCCUGCAGGUAAUAGCGAUUUUUGGACUUUGGCCAAUGGAUUUUCUUCAGGAGGAUCGAAAAUUAGCACGUUAUCGUCUAAAACACGCACAAUUUUUCGAAUUCCAUUCGUACAAAAAGUAUUCGAAGAUGUAUUUGACACUGCCAAACUUCCAUCUCCAAGAAAUUCUUUGGAUUUCGGAGUUUCCGCGAGCAAUCCCUUUUCUCUUUCAGUAAACGGUCGUACACGAACUUGAUGGUCAGUUUCGAAGGAUUUUUUUGAAAUUCUUACCUGCAACGGAAAUUGAAGACCCUUCUUUCAUAGCAGUAUCGUAAUACUGAUUCUAGGAAUGAAUUUGUUUUAGUUGUGU